rnacentral:misc_RNA from 1 species
GAUGAAGAACGCAGCGAAAUGCGAUACUUGGUGUGAAUUGCAGAAUCCCGUGAACCAUCGAGUCUUUGAACGCAAGUUGCGCCUCAAGCCAUUAGGUUGAGGGCACGUCUGCCUGGGCGUCACAUAUCGUUGCCUGAUGCCAGUUUCCUCGUGAUGGGUGACUGUGCAGGGCGAAUGAUGGCUUCCCGUGAGCAUUGUUGCCUCAUGGUUGGUUGAAAAUUGAGUCCUUGGUAGGGAGCGCCGUGAUAGAUGGUGGUUGAGUGACGAACGAGACCCAAUCAUGUGAGACCCCUACCGAAUUUGGCCUUCAUGACCCACGUGCGUCUUUGGAACGCUCAUGACGAGACCUCAGGUCAGGCGGGGCUACCCGCUGAGUUUAAGCAUAUCAAUAAGCGGAGGA